rnacentral:rRNA from 1 species
GAUGAACGCUGGCGGCGUGCCUAAUACAUGCCAGUCGAGCGAACAGACGAUGAGCUUGCUCCUCUGACGUUAGCGGCGGACGGGUGAGUAACACGUGGAUAACCUACCUAUAUGACUGGGAUAACUUCGGGACACCGGCGCUAAUACCGUAUAAUAUCUUGAACCGCAUGGUUCAAUAGUGAAAUACGGUUUUGCUGUCACUUAUAGAUGGAUCCGCGCCGCAUUAGCUAGUUGGUAAGGUAACGGCUUACCACGGCAACGAUGCGUAGCCGACCUGAGAGGGGGGUCGGCCACACUGGAAGGGAGACGCGGUCCAGACGACUGCGGGAGGCAGCAGUAGGGUAUCUGACGCAAUGGGCGAAAGCCUGACGGAGCGACGCCGCGUGAGAGAUGAAGGUCUUCGGAUCGUAAAACUCUGUUAUGAGGGAAGAACAAAUGUGUAAGUAACUAUGCACGUCUUGACGGUACCUAAUAAGAAAGCCACGGCUAACUACGUG